rnacentral:rRNA from 1 species
GACGUAGGGCGCGAGCGUUGUCCGGAUUUAUUGGGCGUAAAGAGCUCGUAGGCGGCUCGUUGCGUCGGCUGUGAAAACCCGCAGCUCAACUGUGGGCUUGCAGCUGAUACGGGCGGGCUGGGAUUCGGUAGGGGAGACUGGAAUUCCUGGUGUAGCGGUGAAAUGCGUAGAUAUCAGGAGGAAUACCGAUGGCGAAGGCAGGUCUCUGGGCUGACACUGACGCUCAUGCACGAAAGCGUGGGGAGCAAACAGG